CCCUUAGAUGUCCGGGGCCGCACGCGCGCUACACUGAAGGAAUCAGCGUGGCUUUCUCCCUGACCCGAAAGGGUUGGGAAACCCGUUGAAUCUCCUUCGUGAUAGGGAUUGGGGCUUGAAAGUGUUCCCCAUGAACGAGGAAUUCCCAGUAAGCGCGAGUCAUAAGCUCGCGUUGAUUACGUCCCUGCCCUUUGUACACACCGCCCGUCGCUACUACCGAUUGAACGGUUUAGUGAGGGCCUCGGAUUGGUCUCGGCCCGCUCUUUACCGGGCGGCGCCGUUGGUCGAGAAGACGCUCGAACUUGAUCGUUUAGAGGAAGUAAAAGUCGUAACA
rnacentral:rRNA from 1 species